rnacentral:ncRNA from 2 species
CUCAUCACAGGGGAUGAAGUCCCCCGAAAGCGCCAAACCAGGCUAAUGACUUCUACCAGAUU